rnacentral:lncRNA from 1 species
UUUGCAUCUUCUGUUCUUCCCUUCUCUGAAGAGGAUGUUGUCCUGUGCUUGCCCUAUCUGCACCCCACCACUGGAUCCGGAAGUGUGUUGUGUGUCUAUACUGGGGUGGAGAAAGGAAGGACACGAUAACUUGUUCUUUUAGGCAUCGGUUUCCAGAUCACAGGGAGUCACAGAGGACCUGGAGGAGAGAAUCCUGUGUGUGCUGGAGAUCCCGAACUGUGGCGGAGGCCCCAGGAGGCAGUGAUGGUGUGGACUCAGCUGCCUCUCCGGGAAGCAGCUGCUGACUGGAUACAGAUGUCCAAGGCCAAUGAGGAAGCCAUGUGUCAAAGAUGGCAGGGGGCAGGGCAUGGUGGCUUACACCAGUAAUCCCAGCACUGUGGAAGGCUGAAGCAGCUGGAUCACUUGAACCCAGGAGUUUGAGACCAGCCUGGGCAACAUAGUGAGACACCAUCUCUACAAAGAAUUUAAAAACUGGGCCAGUCGUGAUGGCUCACGCCUGUAAUCCCAGCACUUUGGGAGGCUGAGGCAGGCAGAUCACAAGGUCAGGAGUUCGAGACCAGCCUGGCCAACACAGUGAAACCCUGUCUCCACUAAAAAAUACAAAAAAUUAGCUGGGCGUGGUGGCAGGCGCCCAUAAUCCCAGCUACUCGGGAGGCUGAGGCAGGAGAAUCGCUUGAACCCAGGAGGCGGAAGUUGCAGUGAGCCGAGAUCGCACCAUUGCCCUCCAGCCCGGGCAACAGUGUGAUGAGACUCCAUCUAAAAAAUAAAUAAAUAAAUAAAUAAAUAAAUAAAUAAAUAAAUAAAUAAAAUAAAAAACUAGCUGGGCACAGUGGCUCACAUCUGUAGUUCCAGCUACUUGGGAGGCUGAGGUGG